rnacentral:rRNA from 1 species
CCUACGGGAGGCAGCAGUGAGGAAUAUUGGUCAAUGGCCGGAAGGCUGAACCAGCCAUGCCGCGUGAAGGUCAGUGCCCUAUGGGCGUUAAACUUCUUUUGUGCGGGAGCAAUAAUGGUCACGUGUGGCCAGACGAGAGUACCGUACGAAUAAGCAUCGGCUAACUCAGUGCCAGCAGCCGCGGUAAUACGGGGGAUGCAAUCGUUAUCCGGAUGUAGUGGGUUUAAAGGGUGAGUAGGCUGGGAGGUAAGUCAGCUGUGCAAUGCCCCCGCUCAACGGGGUGAAGAGCCAUUGAUACGGUCUUGUUGGAGUGCGGAUGCGGUGGGAGGAAUGUGUGGUGUAGCGGUGAAAUGCAUAGAUAUCACACAGAACACCGAUUGCGAAGGCAUCUCACGAAUCCGCGAUUGACGCUGAUGCACGAAAGCGUGGGUAUCAAACAGGAUUAGAUACCCUGGUAGUC